GACGAACGCUGGCGGCGUGCUUAACACAUGCAAGUCGAGCGGUAAGGCCCUUCGGGUACACGAGCGGCGAACGGGUGAGUAACACGUGGGUGACCUGCCUUUAGCUCUGGGAUAAGCCUGGGAAACUGGGUCUAAUACCGGAUAUGACCUCAUGACGCAUGUUGUGGGGUGGAAAGCCUUGUGCGGCUAGAGAUGGGCCCGCGGCCUAUCAGCUUGUUGGUGGGGUGAUGGCCACCAAGGCGACGACGGGUAGCCGGCCUGAGAGGGCGACCGGCCACACUGGGACUGAGACACGGCCCAGACUCCUACGGGAGGCAGCAGUGGGGAAUCUUGCGCAAUGGGCGAAAGCCUGACGCAGCGACGCCGCGUGAGGGAUGAC
rnacentral:rRNA from 1 species